UGGUCUUCCCAGCAUGCUCUGCGUCGAUUGUUCUUUAAGGUUCAUUGCACGCAUACGCACUUCGCACGUGGGGACAGCCAAGCAAGAGUCAGCUAAACUGCAGAACUAGAAUGACGGUGCAAGAUCGGGGUGGCGAAAUGGUUGCCUACGAUGACCCUGUAUGACUUGGUUUCUAGGGAGGAUCCCGACCCGAAAGGUUACUUGUUGAGCGUUGUAUCAAGUGAGACUUGGUAAUGGGGUGAUGCCACAGCAUGUCUGUGCCAUGGUGCACUACUGAGCUGUUUGAUUACAGCACAGCAUCUGAUAAACAUGAAAACCAAUGCAAGUUCACUCAACUCCAGUAAAGUUUGGUGUCAACAUCAGUCAGCCGUGUACACCUAAAUGACCUCUACAAGACCCAGCAAUCCAUCAAGAUCAUAGCAAGACCUAAACCGGAGUUCGGUCAGUGGUGGUGGAUGCUUCCAAUCUUCCAUUCGACACCUCCAUUUUGUCCACAUGGGGAAGCUGUCAGGAGCAUUGGUGAAGGGAUAUGUGUAUUGAGGUGUGGAUGAAAUGGAUGUAACAGAGGAACCAAAAUGCACCAUUUGGAAGAAGUCUCAUGAACAUUGUGUGUUUGAAGGUCUAGAGGCUUACAACAGAGGUGUGCAAAGGCAAUUUCAUGGCCUGUGUUGCCUGUCCUUUGGUACAGUGAAUGGGGCUGAUGUUUCUGUUUAUUUGGGUGUUAAUAUAUAUGAAGUUAUUUUUGUUGUAUGUAUGUGUGAGAGGGGGUGUAUGUACUGCAUUUGUACAAAAUAAAGUUUUCCUUAUCUAA